GACGAACGCUGGCGGCGUGCCUAACACAUGCAAGUCGAGCGAGGGGAGUUUCUUCGGAAACAAACCUAGCGGCGGACGGGUGAGUAACACGUGGGCAACCUGCCUUAUAGUGGGGAAUAGCCUCUCGAAAGGGAGAUUAAUACCGCAUAAUAUUACACUGUCGCAUGAAGGAGUAAUUAAAGGAUCAAUUCGCUAUAAGAUGGGCCCGCGGCGCAUUAGCUAGUUGGUGAGGUAAUGGAUCACCAAGGCGACGAUGCGGAGCCGACCUGAGAGGGUGAUCGGCCACAUUGGGACUGAGACACGGCCCAGACUCCUACGGGAGGCAGCAGUGGGGAAUAUUGCACAAUGGGGGAAACCCUGAUGCAGCAACGCCGCGUGAGUGAUGAAGGUCUUCGGAUCGUAAAGCUCUGUCUUCAGGGACGAUAAUGACGGUACCUGAGGAGGAAGCCACGGCUAACUACGUGCCAGCCGCCGCAGUAAUAC
rnacentral:rRNA from 1 species